UCUCAGGUGCAAAGGACUGUGACCUUGUAAAACAAUUCACAAGCUGGGGAAGAAUGAUGCCUGUCACCCACACCAGUUUCGGAGGGACGGAUGUCUGUGAAGAAGGGAUGGCUCAAGGCUGCUGCUUUGCGGUCUCAAACGGGACGGAGCGGGGCUGAGCGUGGUCAGCACGUCCAGUCGGGGUAAGUCAAAGCUCAGCGCAAACCAUCUCCGUGGUGGCUCUUCCGAGGCUCCCGGGGCGGGACAGUCCGCGCAGGCUCUGAUUGCGCCGGUGCAGCCAGUCUGACGGUCACGCAGGAUACCUGCCACCCUCUGGUUGUUUCUCCCCAUCCUAAGCCUGUCCUAAAUCCCGCUGCAAGUGUGGAUCUUUGUCUCUGGAUUAAGCUGUGUGCGCAGCGUAGUUUCCCAAAACCGCAGCCAAAUGGCGCAGUUAGUGCGGACUCCUGGAAAUCCAACCCAGCUCCUGGCAGCAACACUCGCAAGUUAAGCAGGUUUUGCACAACGCUAAAGGAAAUGAUGACCAAUAUAGUUAAAAUCUCUUUGGCAGGCAACGCCAAUACAAAGGUCAGUCAUUUUUCCAGUAUUUUUUUUUAAAGUAAUUCCAUUAAUACAACAAAGGGGAUUUUUUGCAAUAUUCAAAAGGAAACACCUUUGUUCUUUGAACAAACACAUUGCAAAACUUGUACAUUUUAAAAUAAAUUUUCUGCCAUUAUGG